rnacentral:rRNA from 1 species
AUCAUGAUCUUUGAACGCACCUUGCGCUCCUUGGUAUUCCGAGGAGCAUGCCUGUUUGAGUGUCAUUAAUAUAUCAACCCUUCAGCUUUUUGCAUGUUGAGGUUUGGAUGUGGGGGUGUAAUUUUUGCUGGACUCUAGAAUCUGAGGUCAGCUCCCCUGAAAUGCAUCAGCGAAACAAUUUGUUUACCGCUCAUUGGUGUGAUAACUAUCUACGCUAUUGACGGUGAAGCAUGUUUAGCUUCUAACAGUCCACUAACUUGGACAAUCUCUUAUUAAUGUGACCUCAAAUCAGGUAGGACUACCCGCUGAACUUAAGCAUAUCAAUAAGCGGAGG